rnacentral:snoRNA from 1 species
UCCAAUGAUGACGUAAUUUGCGAUUGAGGUCAGCGCUGGAGACCCUCGCCGGGGUCUCUUAACAGCGUUGAUACAGUGACAUUCCAUUUCUUACAUAUUCUGAGC